CAGUAAGCAAGGUCGGACUUCUUCCGCCUCAGGAUCAGCUGACUGCUGCAAGGAAGUGGCAACCCCGAGGGCUUUUAACUAAAGAGCCACAGCGAAGGGGGUGUCUCCAGUCUGAAAACCGCUUUCCUCUUCCCCCCCCCUCUAGUGACUACUGAAACCACACCUUGCCGCUGUUUAUGCGUCCCCUAACCUCAGCCCAAGGGGCGUAAACCUGUGGCGUCAAAAGUUUAUUCUCUCCAUUUGGAGCAAAUACAUUGCCGAGAUGGCAGGGGUCGUGGUUAAUGGAACUCAAGUGUCUUACAUUGGUCAAGACUGCCAAGAAAUACCAGAAUUCCUUGGGAGAAAAUAUGGACAUAUUGCUAAAAGAUUGGAUCUUAGCUGUAACUUGUUAAGAUAUACAUCUCAUCUUUCCAUUUCCAAAGACUGCACUGAUGUCAACACUUGCAACAAACAAAAUAUGAGUGUACUUUUGAGCAAGUGUGUGAACUGUGUCUGA
rnacentral:lncRNA from 1 species